AUGAGCCGUGUAGAAAACUUCGAUAGUGGCGGCAAAAUUAAAUCAUAGAUACUAUCGAGAUAGCCCCAUCGAUAGUUUUCCAUAGUUACCAACAACAAGAAAACCCAAAGCAGCAAGAAGCAAAAUACGAAUCUGCGUCGGAGGAGGUGCAGAAAAUCCAAGGCAUAGAAAAUCUAGAUUUUAUUUAAUUUUUAGCUUUUGGUUGCGAAGUGGCGCGUUUGUUUACAAAGAAAAUUAUUACUGGGAGAUAUAUGGUCUCUUUUUUUAGUGACAAAGACAACGUAUGAUGUAGCCGCGGCAGCUAGGUAAACUUCUUAGCACGGAGACACUGUUGAAGAAGCUAAAAAAUAGAAAUCGAGUGGGCGAUUUAUAGCGAAUAUUGAGUAUACAAGCAAAAUAAAGUAAAAAAUGGAAGAAGGCGCCCCACAAAACAAUCAACUGUCACGCAAGUGUUACCCAUAUCCACUCCUUCACAACGUGCACAAAUAUUUGCCACCACCGUCAGUAACUUGCACUUUAGGAUACAGUUGCGAAACUUUGUAUACAGAAGGAGAUUUUGUAUAUUUUCACUACGGUUGCGACGGUUUCAAUGACAAUGGCUGGGGUUGUGCCUAUCGCACGCUGCAGUCCAUCUGUUCCUGGAUCGUAGGCAAACGCAGCGCCAACGAGUCUAAUACAGCGGUGCCAUCGAUUAAAGAGAUACAACAAACUCUGGUGCAGAUUGGUGAUAAAUCCAGUGAGUUUGUGGGCUCACGUGAUUGGAUUGGCGCAAUCGAAGUAUUCUAUGUUUUGGAUAUGCUGUACGAUGUUGUAUGCAAAAUCAUUCAUAUUGCACACCAUGACGAUUUGAAGAAGUACGCCAAUGUACUGAAGAAAUAUUUUGAAGAAUUUGGAGGACUUGUUAUGAUGGGUGGCGACAUGGACGCUGCAUCUAAAGGACUUGCAGGCAUUCAUAUUAGCGGAAAUCAAGUUUAUCUUCUGGUCAUUGUAAGAUCCCCACUUUGUCGGCAUUCCUGAAUCUGUGCAAGAGCUAGUUGAUCGCGGCUACAUACGUUGGCAACACACUUCGGACACGUAUGCAUAUCGGGCCCAGCUGUUGUAACCAUUGAUAACGAAAAGAACGAGAGAAUUUUAAGAAAUGACUGCGAUAAGCACUAGCAG
rnacentral:misc_RNA from 1 species